UACGUAGGAGGCAAGCGUUAUCCGGAAUUAUUGGGCGUAAAGAGCUCGUAGGCGGUUUGUCGCGUCUGCCGUGAAAGUCCGGGCUCAACUCCGGAUCUGCGGUGGGUACGGGCAGACUAGAGUGAUGUAGGGGAGACUGGAAUUCCUGGUGUAGCGGUGAAAUGCGCAGAUAUCAGGAGGAACACCGAUGGCGAAGGCAGGUCUCUGGGCAUUAACUGACGCUGAGGAGCGAAAGCAUGGGGAGCGAACAGG
rnacentral:rRNA from 1 species